UACGAAGGGGGCUAGCGUUGCUCGGAAUCAUUGGGCGUAAAGAGCUCGUAGGCGGCUUGUCACGUCGGGUGUGAAAGCCCGGGGCUUAACCCCGGGUCUGCAUUCGAUACGGGCUAGCUAGAGUGUGGUAGGGGAGAUCGGAAUUCCUGGUGUAGCGGUGAAAUGCGCAGAUAUCAGGAGGAACACCGGUGGCGAAGGCGGAUCUCUGGGCCAUUACUGACGCUGAGGAGCGAAAGCGUGGGGAGCGAACAGG
rnacentral:rRNA from 1 species